rnacentral:rRNA from 1 species
CUACGGGGCGCAGCAGUGGGGAAUAUUGCACAAUGGAGGAAACUCUGAUGCAGCAACGCCGCGUGGAGGAUGACACUUUUCGGAGCGUAAACUCCUUUUGUAUAGGAAGAAGAUGACGGUACUAUAUGAAUAAGCGCCGGCUAACUCCGUGCCAGCAGCCGCGGUAAUACGGAGGGCGCAAGCGUUACUCGGAAUCACUGGGCGUAAAGAGCGUGUAGGCGGAUUAAAAAGUCAGAAGUGAAAUCCUAGAGCUUAACUAUAGAACUGCUUCUGAAACUCUUAAUCUAGAAUAUGGGAGAGGUAGAUGGAAUUUCUGGUGUAGGGGUAAAAUCCGUAGGGAUCAGAAGGAAUACCGAUUGCGAAGGCGAUCUACUAGAACAUUAUUGACGCUGAGACGCGAAAGCGUGGGGAGCAAACAGGAUUAGAUACCCCCGUAGUC